rnacentral:rRNA from 1 species
GAUGAACGCUCGCUACAGGCUUAACACAUGCAAGUCGAGGGGAAACGACAUCGAAAGCUUGCUUUUGAUGGGCGUCGACCGGCGCACGGGUGAGUAACGCGUAUCCAACCUGCCCACCACUUGGGGAUAACCUUGCGAAAGUAAGACUAAUACCCAAUGACGUCUCUAGAAGACAUCUGAAAGAGAUUAAAGAUUUAUCGGUGAUGGAUGGGGAUGCGUCUGAUUAGCUUGUUGGCGGGGUAACGGCCCACCAAGGCGACGAUCAGUAGGGGUUCUGAGAGGAAGGUCCCCCACAUUGGAACUGAGACACGGUCCAAACUCCUACGGGAGGCAGCAGUGAGGAAUAUUGGUCAAUGGACGAGAGUCUGAACCAGCCAAGUAGCGUGCAGGAUGACGGCCCUAUGGGUGGUAAACUGCUUUUAUAAGGGAAUAAAGUGAGUCUCGUGAGACUUUUUGCAUGUACCUUAUGAAUAAGGACCGGCUAAUUCCGUG